CCCAAAGCUGGCAGCCCCUGCAAAACUCAAACUAACUUCCCUGCUCAUCCACCUCUUGUUUGUUUGUUAUUUUAAUCUUCCUCCCAGUCCGCAGUGUGAAGAGAAAGGGCUGAUUGACAGCUAAACUGUUUCAAAUCAAUAGAAAGAGCACUUGGAGAUUAAAGCAAUUUAAACAAGGUGUUUAUGUGGAGCUAAAACUGCACUUGAAGGAAGCAAGAGCAGGAGCUGAAGGAAGUGGGUCAGGCACAGACACAGGGAACCUGCCUGAGCAGAGGCACUGAGGAUGUGACCCUGUGUGGAAACAAUCCUGCAGAAGAUCCACAACAAAGAGCUGGAACUGGAGAGAGAACAGGUGCUUGGGGAAGCUCAGUGUCAAGGAAAGGAAAACCUGUAAUUACAAUUACAAAUCUCCACUAAAUCUGCAGGUGUAGAUUAGCAAAACCCCCUGGCCUCCAAACCAAACACAAAGGAUGACAGCUUUUGGGGCCACCACAGAAGACAGAAGUCCUCAAGCCAGUUUUAAGCAGGCUGCCAUGCAGCAAUUCCCUGUUUCUGUCAGACUCAGGGAGGAGCAUGGAGGGGGAUUCUGCCUCUCUGACUUCACAAGAGCAUCAGGUAGAAGCACCUGUUGCUUUGGUGGGGUAUGUGAGUGUGUUUUGAAGGCCACUACAGCACUGCUGUACCCUCCUUCCGAGUGUUUAUUAUUUCCUUGGUGACAGUGGCCAGCUAACAGAAUA